rnacentral:rRNA from 1 species
UAGGUGGCCAAUUAANUCAAAUGUGAAUUCCCCGAGCUUAAANUNGGAAUUGCAUUCGAUACUGNUNGGCUAGAGUAUGGGAGAGGAUNGUAGAAUUNCCAGGUGUAGCGGUGAAAUGCGUAGAGAUUUUGGAGGAAUACCGAUGGCGAAGGCAGCCAUCUGGCCUAAUACUGACACUGAGGUGCGAAAGCAUGGGGAGCAAACAGGAUUAGAUACCCUGGUAGUCCAUGCCGUAAACGAUGUCUACUAGCCGUUGGGGCCUUUGAGGCUUUAGUGGCGCAGCUAACGCGAUAAGUAGACCGCCUGGGGAGUACGGUCGCAAGACUAAAACUCAAAUGAAUUGACGGGGGCCCGCACAAGCGGU